GUCUACAGCCAUACCACCCUGAAAGUGCCCAAUCUCGUCUGAUCUUGGAAGUGAAGCAGGGUUGGGCCCGGUUAUUACUUGAAUGGGACAGUGUGUUCA
ensembl:rRNA 5S_rRNA 5S ribosomal RNA